UCCAACUCCCAAACCGUCAGAUUGUGACCUGAGCUGAAGUUGGACGCUUAACCAACUGUGUCACCCCUACAUUUUGUGUAUCUUAAAAAAACAGACUGUUAGUUUUAUUUUUUAGCCACAGGUACACACAGAAGCCAAAUUUAAGCAUGACAGUAAAGUAAAAUCUUAAGCAACUGAAACUGAAGAUCAGCGUACUGUAUAAUUGAGUUCCACUGUAAUAAUUUAAUAUGUUUAGAGUAUUUUCAUUGUGAGAUUAGAAGCAGAAUAUGGUAUAUAUUUAAUCCCUUUAAUGUUUUAGUUUCAGACUUGAAAGUUUCCAAGGGUUAUAAAAAGUACAGCUAUAACUCAUUUAUGUGGCUCUCUCAUUCAUGGACAUUGGAAAAAAGGAUUUCCAUAAGCCUCACGAGGUAUUGAAAUCCAGAUUUUCUUAAAUGGAUGGAAAUUCCUUUUGUGAAAUUAUUUAACAUUUAUUCAGCAAACACAAACGUAUAUUGGAAUGAUCUUCAUAUGACCAUUAUCAUGGAACCCAUUAAAUCUUUGUUCAUAAAAAUGUUUGAAUAUGUCUUAAAUGUUCUCUACAUGAAUAAAAAGUUUCUUUCUAAGA